GAAUAUUGGACAAUGGCUGAAAAGCUGAUCCAGCCAUCCCGCGUGAAGGCAGAAGGUCCUAUGGAUUGUACACUUCUUUUCUCUGGGAAGAAAAGGCGGGUUUCUACCUGCUCUGACGGUACCAGAGGAAUACGCACCGGCUAACUCCGUGCCAGCCGCCGCGGUAAUACGGAGGGUGCAAGCGUUAUCCGGAUUCACUGGGUUUAAAGGGUGCGUAGGCGGGCGUGUAAGUCAGUGGUGAAAGCCCGGGGCUUAACUCCGGAAUUGCCGUUGAUACUGCAAGCCUUGAGUACGGUUGAGGUGGGCGGAAUACAUCAUGUAGUGGUGAAAUACUUAGAUAUGAUGUAGAACACCGAUUGCGGAGGCAGCUCACUAAAGCGUAACUGACGCUGAGGCACGAAAGCAUGGGGAUCAAACAGG
rnacentral:rRNA from 1 species